rnacentral:tRNA from 1 species
GCAGGUGUAUGCAAGUCUGGCUAAAGCAACGAUACUGUAAAUAUCGCACUUCGGUUUCGGGAGUUCAAAUCUCUCCACCUGUA